rnacentral:rRNA from 1 species
AAGUUAGGUGUGAAAACUCCGGGCUCAACUCGGAGAGGCCACCUAAUACUGCCGUGACUAGAGUCUGGUAGAGGAGUGUGGAAUUCCCGGUGUAGCGGUGAAAUGCGCAGAUAUCGGGAGGAACACCAGCGGCGAAGGCGGCACUCUGGGCCAGUACUGACGCUGAGGAGCGAAAGCGUGGGUAGCGAACAGGAUUAGAUACCCUGGUAGUCCUAGCGGUAAACGAUGGGCACUAGGUGUCGGUGGUAUCGACUCCACCGGUGCCGCAGCUAACGCAUUAAGCGCCCCGCCUGGGGAGUACGGCCGCAAGGCUGAAACUCAAAGGAAUUGACGGGGGCCCGCACAGGCGGUGGAGUAUGUGGUUUAAUUCGACGCAACGCGAAGAACCUUACCUGGGUUUGACAUGCACGGGAAAGCUACAGAGAUGUAGCCCCCUUUUCGGAGGUCCGUGCACAGGUGCUGCAUGGCUGUCGUCAGCUCGUGCCGUGAGGUGUUGGGUUAAGUCCCGCAACGAGCGCAACCCUUGUCCUUAGUUGCCAUCAGGUUAUGCUGGGAACUCUAAGGAGACUGCCGGUGACAAGCCGGAGGAAGGUGGGGAUGACGUCAAGUCCUCAUGGCCCUUACGUCCAGGGCUACACACGUACUACAAUGGUCGGUACAAUGGGCUGCAAUGCCGCGAGGUGGAGCUAAUCCCCAAAGCCGGCCUCAGUUCAGAUUGGAGUCUGCAACUCGACACCAUGAAGGCGGAAUCGCUAGUA